rnacentral:misc_RNA from 1 species
GAUGAAGAACGCAGCGAAAUGCGAUAAGUAGUGUGAAUUGCAGAAUUCAGUGAAUCAUCGAAUCUUUGAACGCACAUUGCGCCCCUUGGUAUUCCAUGGGGCAUGCCUGUUCGAGCGUCUUUUGUACCUUCAAGCUCUGCUUGGUGUUGGGUGUUUGUCUCGCCUCUGCGUGUAGACUCGCCUCAAAACAAUUGGCAGCCGGCGUAUUGAUUUCGGAGCGCAGUACAUCUCGCGCUUUGCACUCAUAACGACGACGUCCAAAAGUACAUUUUUACACUCUUGACCUCGGAUCAGGUAGGGAUACCCGCUGAACUUAAGCAUAUCAAUAAGCGGAGGA